rnacentral:rRNA from 1 species
AUACGGAGGAGGCAAGCGUUGUUCGGAAUUACUGGGCGUAAAGGGCGCGUAGGCGGAUUGUCAAGUCAGAGGUGAAAGCCCUGGGCUCAACCUGGGAACUGCCUUUGAAACUAACAGUCUAGAGGCCGAGAGAGGAUGGCGGAAUUCCCAGUGUAGAGGUGAAAUUCGUAGAUAUUGGGAAGAACACCAGUGGCGAAGGCGGCCAUCUGGCUCGGUACUGACGCUGAGGCGCGAAAGCGUGGGGAGCAAACAGGAGUAGAUACCCCAGUAGUCC